AGAUCCCCCAUACUGAAACAAAAUUUACUGACUCCUAAAAUGGCUGAGUCAAGAGGAUUCUGCAGUGUCCAUGGGGCAAGACUGGACCAAAUUCCCCUAGGAACUUUCAGCCCCUGGUGUCCAGAAUGCUCUGAAAUUUCACAUAUUAAAAAUGAAAUUUAAUCAAGAUCUAGAGAAUGACCGUCCAUCUUCAAAUAGGUGGGGGAUGUGCUGUCCUGUACUGCUGUCCUCAGAGAUGUGACAAACGUCAGCCAGGAUGGUUGGCUCACAUGUAUUCUCCAGAGAGGCUGCAGAGCUGCAUUUCUCAGAGGUCACCAUGGAAUUCUGUGUCCCAGGUCAACUCCAUGAGGACAGGAAUAGGUAUCUGCUGUGUUAUUGCACUCAAGGGCACAGGGCUGCUGCUCCAUAAAAAUCUGAUAACCUUGUGCUCCCCAAACAACAAGCAGCCCUGUCAUAGGCUUCUGCCUCAGGAGGACAGAAGAUGACAAUGGAGCUGUGGACAACCACUUGGACACUGCCCUUCUCCUCUCUACCCUGUCCGGGGUGGGAAUGUGACACAACUCCAGGCUCAUAGCUCCCACCACCUGUGCCUGUCCAGGAGGACUUCUCUCAGCACCCUGUUCCCCCUCCCAUCUCCCACACACUCUGAGGAUGAAGUGCUGGAUUUGGGCCAAGGGACUCACAGUG